CCUACGGGGGGCUGCAGUGAGGAAUAUUGGUCAAUGGGCGCGAGCCUGAACCAGCCAAGUCGCGUGAGGGAUGACGGUCCUACGGAUUGUAAACCUCUUUUGCCGGGGAGCAAGCGUGCGUUCGUGAACGCUCGUCGAGAGUACCCGGAGAAAAAGCAUCGGCUAACUCCGUGCCAGCAGCCGCGGUAAUACGGAGGAUGCGAGCGUUAAUCGGAAUUACUGGGCGUAAAGCGCUCGUAGGCGGUAUGUCAAGUCAAGGGUGAAAUCCCCGCGCUCAACGUGGGAACUGCCUUUGAAACUGGCAAACUGGAGUGUGUGAGAGGAUAGUGGAAUUCCAGGUGUAGGAGUGAAAUCCGUAGAUAUCGGGAGGAACAUCAGUGGCGAAGGCGACUAUCUGGCACAUAACUGACGCUGAGGAGCGAAAGCGUGGGUAGCAAACAGGAUUAGAUACCCCUGUAGUC
rnacentral:rRNA from 1 species